rnacentral:rRNA from 1 species
UACAGAGGUCCCAAGCGUUGUUCGGAUUCACUGGGCGUAAAGGGUGCGUAGGCGGUCGGGUAAGUCUGAUGUGAAAUCUCACAGCUUAACUGUGAAACUGCAUUGGAUACUAUCCGGCUCGAGGAAUGGAGGGGAGACUGGAAUACUUGGUGUAGCAGUGAAAUGCGUAGAUAUCAAGUGGAACACCGGUGGCGAAGGCGGUUAGCUGGGCAGUUGCUGACACUGAGGCGCGACAGCGUGGGGAGCAAACAGG